AGCGAACGCUGGCGGCAGGCCUAACACAUGCAAGUCGAACGAACUCUUCGGAGUUAGUGGCGGACGGGUGAGUAACACGUGGGAACGUGCCUUUUGGUUCGGAAUAACUCAGGGAAACUUGUGCUAAUACCGAAUGUGCCCUUCGGGGGAAAGAUUUAUCGCCAUUAGAGCGGCCCGCGUCUGAUUAGCUGGUUGGUGAGGUAACGGCUCACCAAGGCGACGAUCAGUAGCUGGUCUGAGAGGAUGACCAGCCACACUGGGACUGAGACACGGCCCAGACUCCUACGGGAGGCAGCAGUGGGGAAUCUUGCGCAAUGGGCGAAAGCCUGACGCAGCCAUGCCGCGUGAAUGAUGAAGGUCUUAGGAUUGUAAAAUUCUUUCACCGGGGACGAUAAUGACGGUACCCGGAGAAGAAGCCCCGGCUAACUUCGUG
rnacentral:rRNA from 1 species